rfam:Mesocricetus auratus contig191321, whole genome shotgun sequence.
UUUCCAGUCAGGCUCCUGGCUUAAUUCUAGCUAUUAGCUGGAAUUAGGCCAAACCUGACUGUAAA